ACAGUACAAACUGAGCAGGCGAUGCCCAGAUGGGCAUGGGGCCGGGCCGCUGGUGCGGCAGCAGAUCGUUUUUUGCAUCUGUGGGACAGU
rnacentral:ncRNA from 1 species